AGAGAGAGAGAGAGAGAGAGAGAGAGAGAGAGAGAGAGAGAGAGAGAGAGAGAGAAAGUUAAAACAGAAGAAUGAAUAUAUGGCAGAGAAAAAGGAGGACACAGGGAUGCUGUAAGGACACAGAGGAGAGAAAAAUAAGCUGAACAAAAAGAUCCUGAAACGAUCUAAACCCAGGAGGAGGCGGAUAAGACACUUGGGAGAGAGAGUGCUGCAACUGACAGUCCAACUCCUACUCAGUCCAUCAGCCAAGCACAGAAUCCAUUCUUCGCUUUUCUUGAGAUGUGUUUUUCAGUCUUUUCUCUCAUGUCGAAGUGUCGGGACUGGGAGAGUUUUGCUGUAGCUCCCGAUGUUCGAACUGCUGUUAUCUUCUCUAAUUGUGCAAAGACAAACAUUCCCCUCCCACACUCCCACUGGGAUAAGUUCUGAGGAAAAAAAAACACAGCGUGGAGGAUUCAAGGAUGAAGCAUUGAAUGGACGUCACCGGAGAUGGAGCCACUAGCCGAGCAGCUAAAAACAGUUCAAGUGUUGUUCCGUGAUGUUUGAAACGAACGACCGCACACAGGAGAAGAGGAUCGAGGGCAGCGACACGGUGCGAGAGUCAGAAGAGGAGGACGAGUGGUUGAGAGUGUUUGCAAGUCAGAGUGAGAGUAAGUCAUCGAGGGAGGGAGGCAUUUACUCAACUGUACUCAGAGCCACUCAUCUGAUUCCCCUGGUUUCUCUCCAUCUCCCCCCCCGCGUACAAUUGAAUCAUAAUGGAACGACAUUUGAUUUUAAUGUUAAAGUUAUAUUGAGAAUCACACGUUGAUGACAGAUGCUCCUGAAAUAGUCUGUGCAUAAUGAGCUGAUGAGUUAUUCUAGUGUCAGAAGCUCGGGGACGAUAAAGCAUUGAAGAGCAAUAAAAGAAACACUUCUGUUGGUUUGUUUAUUAAUUGAGUGUUUGAUGUAAUGUUUUCUGAAUCAAGAAUAUGAGAGAUUUUUUAUUUAUUUUACAGUUAUCACUCUGUAUUUACAGUGUUUUCAGAAGGAAAGUGAGAAUGGUGUUAUAUCAGGUUUUUUCACCCACACUGGAGGCUAAACACCCACAUAUCCAUGUUUUCUUGCUGCAAGAACACGCUGAUCAGCAACAUUACAAACAGCUCAGCUAUGAAAAUGUGAGAUAAUUCAUACAUACAAAAAAGGAUUACAGAAAUAAAAAGAAGCGCUAUUAGGAGAUUAAAUAUCCCCUGGGAAAACUCCAUAAAAAUCAUAAUUUCACUUCAGGAUUUAAAUAAUUCUGAAAGUUUAAUGAAAUAUACUCCAAAUAGUUUUUAAAUCAUGCUCUGGACGGGAAUACUGAUCAAUAUAUUCCCCUGUAUUU